ensembl:misc_RNA 7SK 7SK RNA
GGAUGCGAGGGCGAUCUGGCUGAGACAUCUGUCACCCCCACUGAUUGCCAGGGUUGAUUCAGUUUAUCUGGCUGGCUAGGCGGGUGUCCCCUUCCUCCCUCAUCACUCCAUGUGCUUCCCUCCUGAAGCUGCACCCUCGGUCGAAGAGGAAGGCCCUCCCUGAAUGAGACAGCCGGUCUUCAGUCUAGGGUAUAUGAGUAGCUGUGCUACCCUGCUAGAACCUCCAAACAAGCUCUCAAGUUGUUGAUUAAUCAUGAACCUAAAGGCUAGAAUAGUGCAGAUGAAGAGUUGGGGGAGGGGGGGUUGUCUCCGUUUUGUAGAUA